AAUUUAGAAGGACUCACUCAAGGCUUCAAGGGAAUCAUCAUCAAGAGCACCACACCUCUAUUUUGGAUAGUUGGGUGAAGAAAUUGUUUGGUUCAUACUAGCUCAUAGCUAGGAGUGACUAAGCUAACUCUCCAUUCUCUUCCUUAUUAUCUAUUCCAUAAUUUUAUUUGCUAUUGAUGAUGUAUUUAACUAUGGAUAGUGAGUAGUUCAAUUUUGGGAGUUAGGGUUGUGAAGCCCUAACUCAUCUUGUAUAAAUAUUGAUGCUUUAAUUUUAAUAAAUGCAAUUUUCAUUGUGCUUUGUCACCCUUUGAAAUUAUGUUGUGGGCAAUUGUGAUGAAUAGAUUGAUAAAUUGACAACUUAUUGGUCUUGUUGCAUCUAGGAUUUAAGUGUGGUAACCAUUAGCUAGCUUAAUUGUAGCUAAGCUUGCUUGGGUCUCUAUUAUCUUGCACUCUAGGCCUCUAAUUUUAGAUAUUGCGGCCUUAACCGGCGUAAUGCCUAAAUUAGAGAGUUGAUUGUGGCCCUAACCGGCAUAAUCGAUACACCGAAAGGAUAAUUGGUUUAGUAGCCUUGACCGGUACUAAAUACGGGACUUAACACAUAUAGGAAAUGCAUGCAUUUAUGAAAUUGGCACCGAUAUUU
rnacentral:lncRNA from 1 species